rnacentral:tRNA from 1 species
GCGGGAGUAACUCAGUGGUAGAGUGUCAGCUUCCCAAGCUGAAGGUCGCGAGUUCGAAUCUCGUUUCCCGCU